UAGGGGGCGAGCGUUGUCCGGAAUGAUUGGGCGUAAAGGGCGUGUAGGCGGUUGAGUAAGUCUGGAGUGAAAGUCCUGUUUUCAAGAUGGGAAUUGCUUUGGAUACUGCUUGACUUGAGUGCAGGAGAGGUUAUCGGAAUUCCCGGUGUAGCGGUGAAAUGCGUAGAGAUCGGGAGGAACACCAGUGGCGAAGGCGGGUAACUGGACUGCAACUGACGCUGAGGCGCGAAAGUGUGGGGAGCAAA
rnacentral:rRNA from 1 species